rnacentral:lncRNA from 1 species
GAGUUAUUCAAUAGACAGAAGAAUGAUGAGGAUGAUGAGGCGUUAUACGAUGUCUCUUGUGCAAAACUUUGGAUCUCAUUGUGCUUUUUUUCAUUCAUUAAACCUAAUAAACAACCUAAGAGAGGACGAGGAUGAUAGGUUGUUUGUGGUCACACCCUUCCCCACCACCAUAUGCAGCAAUAUAACCACCGAUAUUUUGUAUGUCCCUGAUGCCAGGUUG